GCGGGUUUAGCUCAGUUGGGAGAGCGUCAGACUGAAGUCAAACUUCAGUAAACAAUCAAUCUGAAGGUCAUGUGUUCGAUCCACAUAAACCGCA
rnacentral:tRNA from 1 species